rnacentral:lncRNA from 1 species
AAAGGAGAGAGAAAUUAUCAACAACCCGGCCAACUUAGAAUAGAUUUCAGGUAAUUUAAUUAUCUUGUGUUGUAGUAAUUAAGGUGAGCGUUGAUGUUUAUAGAUGACAACUUAAAGCGAUCGAUAUGAUGUAUCGAAGUCGGUGUUCCAUCACCUGGAUGAUUAAAAUAAUUUUUUUUCAUCACAAACAACGAUACAUCGUUAAUUGGAUAAUUUUAAUUAUACUUAAAUUAUAUUUAUAUAAAAGUGAGAAUAGGGGGAAAGAAAAAAACAAUUUAUCACCUUAGGUUGAAGAUUUUGGGGCACUGGGAAACAUCUCUAAUGACUUUUAAGGUACUACUAGUGAACAGUGCUCCCGGUGCGCGCACUCGCGCAUCUGCGCUAGGUAGUCGAUCCUACAACAAAAAUUAAAUAUUUUUCGAACAAAGUAAAUAAUUUUUUAAAAAAAUUUCGACCGUCUCUAGUAGACUUCUCCGUCGAUUUCCGUAAAAAAUUCUUUUUUUACAUAUGGGCUUGCGGGAACUUUUGAAGUAAUCAGAGCGAAAGACACUAAGAGAAAGCGAUUGUAUGACAAGGGAAGUUCUUUUGAAGUUACCGUGCAUGGGAAGCAUUGAUGUACAUGUGUGUGUUUGAUGGGGUGUGGGAGACAGACAGUAUGUUGUGUAAGUGAAGUGCUUCUGUUAGUGUGUGUGAACGAAAGAGAUAACUGAAAUUUUUUACUCGGUGUAUGUGUAUAUGUAUGUAUAUUACUUCAAAAGUUCCCGCAAGCCCAUAUGUAAAAAAAAAAAAAAAAUUUUUACGGAAAUCGACGGAAAGGUCUACUAGAGACGAAAGAUCGCCAAUAAUUUUUUAAAACCCUAACCCUAACCUUAGUUUGUUUAUAAAAAAAAUAAUUUAUUUACUUAGUUUAAAAAAAUUAUUUACUUUGCGUUUUAUUUACUUUGUUCGAAAAAUAUUUAAUUUGUGUAAAAAAAAAAUUAUAUACAUUGUUUUAAAAAAACAUUUUCUUUGAUAUGUAUUCAGCCUUGCAUACGCACAAGUCGUUGUGGGAUCGACUUCUUACGACUAGCUAGCUCGGAUGCGCGAGUGCGCGCACCGGGACCACUGUUCGCUAGUAGUACCUCAAAUGUGUCAUCAGCAUCUUAACUUUCUGGGUAACAUUUAAAUCUAAAAUGUGUAUUAUUUGUAUUGCCAUGACAACAGACAUUGUAAACUUUUAUACCAUAUACUCUCUUUUACUUGUUUCAGUCAUUUGACUGCGGCCAUGCUGGAGCACCGCCUUUAGUCGAGCAAAUCGACCCCGGGACUUAUUCUUUGUAAGCCCAGUACUUAUUUUAUCGGUGUCUUUUGCCGAACCGCUAAGUGACGGGGACGUAAACACACCAGCAUCGGUUGUCAAGCAAUGCUAGGGGGACAAACACAAACACUUACAUAUAUAUAUAUAUAUAUAUAUAUAUAUAUAUAUAUAUAUACGACAGGCUUCCUUCAGUUUCCGUCUACCAAAUCCACUCACAAGGCAUUGGUCGGUCCGGUUCCGAGUUCAGUCCCACUGCGUGGCACCUUGGGCAAGUGUCUUCUACUAUAGCCUCGGGCCGACCAAAGCCUUGUGAGUGGAUUUGGUAGACGAAAACUGAAAGAAGCCUGUUGUAUAUAUGUAUGUGUGUGUUUGUGUGUCUGUGUAUGUCCCCCUAGCAUUGCUUGACAAUCGAUGCUGGUGUGUUUAUGUUCACGUCACUUAGCAGUUCGGCAAAAGAGACCGAUAGAAUAAGUACUGGGCUUACAAAAGAAUAAGUCCUGGGGUCGAUUUGCUCGAUUAAAGGCGGUGCUCCAGCAUGGCCACAGUCAAAUGACUGAAAUAAGUAAAAGAGAAUAUGAAAUAAACGAAUAAUUGGCUUACUUUUGCCUUUACAACGAGAACUUUUGUGGUUUUUUAAAAUUAAAAGUAGAGAAUAUAACGUUUAUAAAAGGUAAAAGAAUAGCAGGUUCAAAAUUUGAGCCCGGCAGCCCAAAAGGCCCAGCAACAAAAGAGACAGGAAGAGGUGUCUUGCUGUAGAGGAGAGACAUGGUUAUCCCCGUCAGAGUGAGAAAGCAAGAGAGAGAGAGAGAGUGAGAGUGCAAAAGAAAGGAAGGGUGAGAGAGAGAGAGAGAUGGUGACGAUGUACCAGGGCAUAUCUUUGUGUGUUUAUGAUUAAAGUCAAAAUGAGGGUGAAAAAAUUGGAUAUUAAUUUAAUAACAUCAAUUUAAACACCAGUGGCCUAGCUUGUAAAUAUUAUUAAUACACAACUAUGAGAGAGAAUCCACUAUGUGGACGCUCUUACGCUGGAGAUAGAUCCGCAAAAGGGUCUGAACCACUAAGAAUUGUUCUCAAGAAAUAAUUCAGCACACCAAGAACGUAAGCGAGCAGGACAUAUGAAAAAUAACGAAAAUAUAGAUUAACCCCAUACAACUGUUUCACCAACAAUUCUUAGCGGUUGAGUCCCUUUGCGGAUCUAUAUCUAGCGUAAGAGCGUCCACAUAGUGGAUUCUCUCUCAUAGUUUUGUGUGUUUAUGCAUAUUAUAUAUAUAUAUAUAUACACGCACAUUUCCUUUCUCCAACAUCUAUCUUACACAGUCGUAUAUUUUCUUCCUUUUACAGUUGUGCUGAAUCUUCCAUUACAACCCGUCAUACAAGACUACCAAUUCCACCAGCACACCUGCUACCAAUCACUUAUGGACGCUUGCUCUCUCUCUCUCUCUUCCUCUUGCAGUUUCCAGCCUUCAUAACUUCCAUUAACUCUAUCCACAAUAAUUAACAUAGGGUGCUACUUUGCUAUGCGAUCUACACUUUAUAUCGUGAUCUACAAGAAAAUUUAUGCUUAUCAAGAACAAGAAAAACAUUUGUAGUGGUUUUGAGAGAAAACCUGGAUAGAGAGUAGGAAACAUCAUCAUCAUCAUCAUCGUUUAACAUCCACUUUCCGUGCUAGCACGGGUUGGACAGUUCGACUGGGGUCUGGGAAGCCAGUAGGCUGCACCAGGCUCCAGUCUGAUCUGGCAGUGUUUCUACAGCUGGAUGCCCUUCCUAACGCCAACCACUCUGUGAGUGUAGUGGGUGCUUUUUACGUGCCACCAGCACAGGUGCCAGGGGAGGUUGACAGUGGCCACGAUCGGUUGGUGCUUUUUAUGUGCCACCAGCACAAGUGUUA